rnacentral:rRNA from 1 species
AUACGGAGGGUGCAAGCGUUAUUCGGAAUCACUGGGCGUAAAGGACGCGUAGGCGGGUUGGCAAGUCAGAUGUGAAAUCCUACAGCUUAACUGUAGAACUGCAUUUGAAACUGCUAACCUAGAGUAUGGGAGGGGGAGAUGGAAUUAGUGGUGUAGGGGUAAAAUCCGUAGAUAUCACUAGGAAUACCGAAAGCGAAGGCGAUCUCCUGGAACAUAACUGACGCUAAGGCGUGAAAGCGUGGGGAGCAAACAGGAUUAGAAACCCUUGUAGUCCC